GUUGGAACUCGGUGAGCCCAAGUCGCAACAAUGUGGACACUCUUGGUUCUUUGUGUCCUCGCCGUCGUCUGGCACGGUGCGCAAGGUGAUGAUGCUGCAUUAUGGAGAACUUCAGCUCAGCCCUCGUGUCGCUACAACUGCGGCGGACACAUGGGAAGCUGCUCCUGCUACAGCUCAUGCGUGUACUAUGGCAACUGUUGCCGUGACUACUACA